GGAGGGGUUCCCGAGUGGCCAAAGGGAUCAGACUGUAAAUCUGACGGCUCAGCCUUCGCUGGUUCGAAUCCAGCCCCCUCCA
rnacentral:tRNA from 1 species